rnacentral:tRNA from 1 species
GCGAAUAUAGAAGAAUCGGUAAAUUCGAUAGUUUUCCAAGCUAUAACUUACGGGUUCAAAUCCCGUUAUUCGCU